rnacentral:rRNA from 1 species
AACGAACGCUGGCGGCAUGCCUAAUACAUGCAAGUCGAACGAGAUCUUCGGAUCUAGUGGCGCACGGGUGCGUAACGCGUGGGAAUCUGCCCUUGGGUUCGGAAUAACUUCUGGAAACGGAAGCUAAUACCGGAUGAUGACGUAAGUCCAAAGAUUUAUCGCCCAAGGAUGAGCCCGCGUAGGAUUAGGUAGUUGGUGAGGUAAAGGCUCACCAAGCCGACGAUCCUUAGCUGGUCUGAGAGGAUGAUCAGCCACACUGGGACUGAGACACGGCCCAGACUCCUACGGGAGGCAGCAGUAGGGAAUAUUAGACAAGGGGCGAAAGCCUGAUCCAGCAAUGCCGCGUGAGUGAUGAAGGCCUUAGGGUUGUAAAGCUCUUUUACCCGGGAUGAUAAUGACAGUACCGGGAGAAUAAGCACCGGCUAACUCCGUG